rnacentral:rRNA from 1 species
GCAAGUCGUGCGAGAAAGUCACCUUCGGGUGGUGAGUAAAGCGGCGAACGGGUGAGUAACACGUAAGAAACCUGCCCCUAAAUCCGGAAUAACAUUGCUAACGCGGUGCUAAUACCGGAUGUGGUCUCCAGUUUGCAUGAACAGGAGAUUAAAGGUGACCUCUACUUGUAAGUUAUCGUUUAGGGAUGGUCUUGCGGACCAUUAGCUUGUUGGCGGGGUAACGGCCCACCAAGGCUGCGAUGGUUAGCCGGCUUAAGAGGGUGAUCGGCCACAUUGGGACUGAGAUACGGCCCAGACUCCUACGGGAGGCAGCAGUAGGGAAUUUUGCGCAAUGGACGAAAGUCUGACGCAGCAACGCCGCGUGAGCGAUGAAGGUUUUCGGAUUGUAAAGCUCUGUUGAGUGGGAAGAAAACUCUCCGGGAUAAUACCCCGGAGACUUGACGGUACCACUCGAGGAAGCCCCGGCUAAAUACGUGCCAGCAGCCGCGGUAAUACGUAUGGGGCAAGCGUUGUUCGGAAUCACUGGGCGUAAAGGGAGUGUAGGCGGAAAGGUAAGUUAGAAGUGUAAUCCACGGGCUUAACCCGUGACUCGCUUUUAAUACUGCUUUUCUUGAGUAUGGGAGAGGGAGAUGGAAUUCCAGGUGUAGCGGUGGAAUGCGUAGAUAUCUGGAAGAACACCAGUAGCGAAGGCGGUCUCCUGGCCCAAUACUGACGCUGAGGCUCGAAAGCGUGGGGAGCGAACAGGAUUAGAUACCCUGGUAGUCCACGCCGUAAACGAUGGACACUAGAUGUUGGCCUCUUCGGGGGUCGGUGUCGUAGCUAACGCGUUAAGUGUCCCGCCUGGUAAGUACGCUCGCAAGAGUGAAACUCAAAGGAAUUGACGGGGGCCCGCACAAGCGGUGGAGCAUGUGCUUUAAUUCGAUGCAACGCGAAGAACCUUACCUGGACUUGACAUGGGGGUGAAAGUUUUCAGAGAUGAAAACCCUUCCUUCGGGAACGCCCUACACAGGUGCUGCAUGGUUGUCGUCAGCUCGUGUCGUGAGAUGUCGGGUUAAGUCCUUUAACGAGCGAAACCCUUGCCGUUAGUUGCCAGCGAGUAAUGUCGGGGACUCUAACGGGACUGCCGGUGUUAAACCGGAGGAAGGUGGGGAUGACGUCAAGUCCUCAUGGCCUUUAUGCCCAGGGCUUCACACGUGCUACAAUGGCAAUUACAGAGCGACGCGAUACCGCGAGGUGGAGCAAAUCGCAAAAAAAUUGCCUCAGUUCGGAUUGCAGGCUGGCAAUUCGCCUGCAUGAAGUCGGAAUCGCUAGUAAUCGCGUAUCAGCAAUGACGCGGUGAAUGUGUUCCUGAGCCUUGUACACACCGCCCGUCAAGUGAUGGAAGCCGGGAGUACCCGAAGUCGGGUUGCUAACCUUUGGGAGGCGCCUGCCGACGG